ACUUUUUCUUCAAUUCCCGGAACUCUGACCUCAAGAAUCUCCCCACCUACCUGAGGGAGGUAUGGAAGGAGAUGGGCUUGCCUGGAAGCCCCACCUUCACUGACAUACGGACCUCAAUCUCCACUCAUUGCAAGAACACCCUGGCAAAAAAGGACCGGGAGACAGUGGCUCGGUUCAUGUGCCAUGACACUAGGACGGCGGACAGGUUUUAUGCCAUCAGCCUCAACCCGACCCAGGCAAUGGAGGUUAGGUCCUUAUUCCAGGCAGCUUUGGAGGGCGAGGACCAGGACCAGUGAGCCAGAGACACCCCUCAACCUCAAAACCAUCAGAAAGGUGCAAGGGAAAGGCAGCGGAAGACAAGUCCCUUUCUGAGGGGAGCACUUCUUCUGAAGCCACAAAGGUCCAAUACCAAGAGUCCGGGACAUCAUCUCCGGGUUCUAAGUCUGAGUCGUCGUCAUCAUCAUCUCCCUCUUCGUCCUCGUCGUCAGGGGUGGGGCAGAUGGCUACACUACCUCAAACACCUCCUAAGAGACCAGCACCGGAGAGCGAAGAGCACCCCACGCCCUCCAAACUGCCGGUGACAGACAGGCGCAGAGUCAUGGUCUCCAUCACCCCGAUGAAGAUGUCCCCGCUGAAAUCGAUGAGAAAAACUAGACACGUCUCUCCUGUCCUGACUCAGCAGGGGAUAAGGAAGCUGAGAGCAACAAGCGCCCGGCUCAAGAGGGCCAUUGCCUCAAGGAGGCUAAAAAUGGAAGGUAAGGACAAAGACACUAUCCCACCCCACAGCCCAGAGGGAAAAGAUAGUGAGUCAACCUCUGUUCAAGCAGAGGAAGCCAUGGGCAGCAAAGCUUGAUUGAUUGACUCAAUAGGUUGGACACUUGUUCUAUUGUGUUUUUUGUUACCUGUUCUAAUUGUAAAUGUAGAUAGGAAACAUGUUAGAGUUUUGUUCUCAUCAUUUAUAACCUUCUCUGUUCUGUUUAAUUGAAUUGUUCUUUAGUAUUUUGUUAUUGAGAGUUUGUUAUUGCAUGUG